ensembl:lncRNA
GACGGCUCAUAAUGUCAGGAGUGGAAGGGUUGUAAAACCACAGGAGGCUGUUGGGGAGGACGGCUCAUAAUGUCAGGAGUGGAAGGGUUGUAAAACAGAAGGGAACUAUGUGUUUGAUACCAGUCACUUCACCACAUUCCUCCCAUCACUAUGAGCCCUUCCUCCCCAAUUAAUAAGGUGCCCCCAGUCGCAUGUGGUGUGGUACAAAAUACUAUAUGUACCGUGUUAGUGGUGUUAUAUAAAUACUAUAUGUACCGUGGCUGUGUAAUUAGUGAAUCAUUUGGAUAUACUGUAUGUAGUAGAAAAUACUAAUAGUACCGUGUUAGUGGUGAUAUAUAAAUACUAUAUGUACAAAUAAUUAAAAAAAAUAAUUGUAAGGAUAAUUAUCAGCUUUGGCUAGAAGAGCCACACUAAUGUCGGGAUUCAAUCCCAUGGUGCUUUGUCAACAACGCACCAUUUAAACCUUUCCGAUUGAACCAACAUGCAGCGAGGAAUGUGGUCUCCCCGACAGGUGCGGACUUUGCCUAUGAAUGACGUUAAUGGCGUUGUUGACGAAGCGCAGUCAGAUUGAAUCGGGGACUAACAGUGAUCUGGUUUAGUACAGGUGGACUUUAAUUAAAGGGGCAAUGCAGGAUUCAAAAGAACAACAAAGUGUUCUCCGUUAUCAUCCAAUCCCAGAUCAGGAUUAUUUAUUUAUUAGUUAUCAUUCGCUAAGAAGUCAAAAAACAGAUGUGGUCCGACCAAUCCCAGAUCAGGAUUAUUUACAUACAUAGUUUGUGAGGCACUAAUAUGGAUUUACAUAUUCCAUUACCAGGCACUUUUUAUCCACAUCAACUUUCAGUCAGUCAGUCAUUUUUACAUAUGGGGAGGCCCCAGGAAUCAAACCCACAAUCCUGGUGUUGUAAAUGCUCUACCAACUGAACCACAGAGGACAGGCUCUACCAACUGAGUCCACAGAGGACAGGUUCUACCAGCUGAGUCACAGAGGACAGGUUCUACCAACUGAACCACAGAGGACAGGUUCUACCAACUGAGCGACAGAGGACAGGCUCUACCAACUGAGCCACAGAGGACAGGCUCUACCAACUGAGUUACAGAGGACAGGUUCUACCAACUGAGUCACAGAGGACAGGUUCUACCAACUGAGUCACAGAGGACAGGUUAUACCAACUGAACCCACAGAGGACAGGUUCUACCAACUGAGCGACAGAGGACAGGCUCUACCAACUGAACCACAGAGGACAGGUUCUACCAACUGAGUCACAGAUGACAGGUUCUACCAACUGAGUUACAGAGGACAGGCUCUACCAACUGAGCCACAGAGGACAGGUUCUACCAACUGAGUCACAGAGGACAGGUUCUACCAACUGAGUUACAGAGGACAGGUUCUACCAACUGAGUCCACAGAGGACAGGUUCUACCAUAGAACUACAUUUUUAGAUAUGCUAAUAUCUCCUCUCACUUUUUCUUUCCCUCCCUCCAACUGUCUCCCCCUCUUUUUCUCUCCCUCUCUCCCACACCUCUCUCGGUCUCUUUCUCUCCCACUAUCCUCCCCUUUCUCUCUCCCUCUCUCCCACACCUCUCUCAGUCUCUUUCUCUCCCACUAUCCCCCCCUCUCUCCCCUCUCCCUCUCUCCCACACCUCUCUCGGUCUCUUUC